rnacentral:rRNA from 1 species
CCGAGGAAAGAACCAACAGGGAUUGCCUCAGUACCGGCGAGUGAAGCGGCAACAGCUCAAAUUUGAAAUCUGGCCCCUUCGGGGUCCGAGUUGUAAUUUGCAGAGGGUGCUUUUGGUGUUGGCCGUGGUCUAAGUUCCUUGGAACAGGACGUCACAGAGGGUGAGAAUCCCGUACGUGGCCGCCGGCCCUCGCCUUGUAAAGCCCCUUCGACGAGUCGAGUUGUUUGGGAAUGCAGCUCUAAAUGGGAGGUAAAUUUCUUCUAAAGCUAAAUACCCGCCAGAGACCGAUAGCGCACAAGUAGAGUGAUCGAAAGAUGAAAAGCACUUUGGAAAGAGAGUGAAAAAGCACGUGAAAUUGUUGAAAGGGAAGCGCUUGCGGCCAGACGUGCCCGCGGUUGUUCAUCUGGGCUCUCGCCCGGUGCACUCCUCCGCGGGCAGGCCAGCAUCAGUUUGGGCGGUCGGACAAAGGUCUCUAUCACGUACCACCCCUCGGGGUGGCCUUAUAGGGGAGACGCAACACGGCCAGCCUGGACUGAGGUUCCGCGCAUCUGCUAGGAUGCUGGCGUAAUGGCAGCAAGCGGCCCGUCUUGAAACACGGACCAAGGAGUCUAACAUCUAUGCGAGUGUUUGGGUGUCAAGCCCGAGCGCGUAAUGAAAGUGAACGGAGGUGGGAACCCCUCGGGGCGCACCAUCGACCGAUCCUGAUGUCUUCGGAUGGAUUUGAGUAAGAGCAUAGCUGUUGGGACCCGAAAGAUGGUGAACUAUGCCUGAAUAGGGUGAAGCCAGAGGAAACUCUGGUGGAGGCUCGCAGCGGUUCUGACGUGCAAAUCGAUCGUCAAAUUUGGGCAUAGGGGCGAAAGAC